rnacentral:rRNA from 1 species
GACAGAGGGUGCAAGCGUUGUUCGGAAUCAUUGGGCGUAAAGGGCGCGUAGGCGGCUCGUUAAGUUGAAUGUGAAAUCCCAGGGCUUAACCGUGGAAGUGCAUUCAAUACUGGCGAGCUAGAGUCCUGGAGAGGGUGGUAGAAUUCCCAGUGUAGAGGUGAAAUUCGUAGAUAUUGGGAGGAAUACCGGUGGCGAAGGCGACCGCCUGGACAGAGACUGACGCUGAGGCGCGAGAGCGUGGGGAGCAAACAGG